rnacentral:rRNA from 1 species
UACGGAGGAUCCAAGCGUUAUCCGGAUUCACUGGGUUUAAAGGGUGCGUAGGUGGAAUGACAAGUCAGUGGUGAAAACCUGCAGCUUAACUGUAGAACUGCCAUUGAUACUGUUAUUCUUGAGUACAUUUGAUGUGAGUGGAAUGUGUCGUGUAGCGGUGAAAUGCUUAGAUAUGACACAGAACACCAAUUGCGAAGCAGCUCACAAAACUGUAACUGACACUGAGCACGAAAGCGUGGGGAUCAAACAGG